rnacentral:lncRNA from 1 species
AUUGUGUUGAUCUCCAGGAGAAGAAAAGGGGUGCAAACCCUAGUUCAUAAAGAAUCUUCAAAAUUGAAGGGAAAUUGGAGCUCAAACCCAUUAACGAGCAUGAAUUAAUGAUCACCUACACAAGAUGAUCACAAGGGUGAUAAUGCAGAAUUACAGCAGCAUGGUUAAUUAGUACAGCAUGUUGAUUGAAGCAAAACGUGUUGCUGUCCUGUUUUUGUAAAAUUCAUAUAAAUUCAUGUAUACAUCGUAUGGAGACGUUCUUUAUAUGCCUGGAGAGCUAUUUCAAUAAGCUGCGUUUCGUUAGUUUACUUGAAAACCUGAUUCGAAAGUUAAAAGGGUGAAAAUGUUGAAUUACAGCAGCAUGAUUAAUUAGUACAGCAUGAUGAUUUAAAAUAGUAUUAAGAAUGAUGAUAUAACAGAUUGGUUAAGGUGUUUGCCCGUCCUAAACGGGUCAGAUGAACAAAGAGUGCUUUAGUGAAAGAAUGGUCAAAGUGUUUACCCGUCAUGAACGGGUCAAACGAACAAAGAAUGUCACGUGUUAAGGGACGGAACUAAUACAUAAGCAUGUUUAUAUACGGAAAAUGGUGUGCCUAACAAAGUAAUGUGCUUGGAGGAAAUUGAAUGAUUGUGAUUGUACGUGUGUAUGUAAAUAAAAUUUACAUUGAGUAUAUGUAGUACGAAUUUAUAGGUGGCUCUAUUAGUAAGUUCGAAUCUAAUAGAAUUUCAAGGUGUAUGUAAGGUUUGGAUAAAAAAUAUGUAAGCACGCAUUUUAGAUUUAGUAUGUACAGUAGAAACUCGAUAAAUUAAUACUCGAUUAUUUAAUAAACUCUCUAAGAUAAUAUUUUUUGUCGGUCCCGACUCGGGGAUAGGGUGCUAAAUUAAUAAUUCGCUAAAAUUAUAAGAUAAUACAUUUUUUAUAAUUUCUUUAGACCCCAUAUAAAAUAUAAAUUAAUAAUUCCUUAUAUAUAGCAUAUUACAUGAAUGAUUUAUGAAGGUUUCUUGAAAAAUGACUCAAUUGUCUUUUGUUUUUUUGUUGAAAUCAAUUUCCCCUUGAAUCUCGUCUCUAAUUUUCCUUAGCAUGGUAAGAACUUCUGGUGUUGUUUUCUCAUAGCUCAACAAGAAAUUGUUCAAUGUGAUUGCCACUUUAAUAGCUUCGUUUCGCGAAGGGGGCUCCAUUGUAGAACUUUCAUCAUCUUCUUCAUCGAUAUCAUCUUUAUUAAUUCCAAUAACGCUUUCAAUAAUUUCUUCAUCAGUCAACAACUGUGCAACUACAUUUUCUUCUGGGUGAGUCAGAACAUCUUCGACAUCCAUUGCAUUGCGAUAACCCAACUCUUUGAUCAAAUUCUGGAGUUCUUGAGUGCUUUCACCACCUUCAUCUGAGUUCUCAAAAGUCAUGUUAUCUGUUGAUCGAAGUUUACAAUGACGAAAGCAGUUCGCAAUUGUAUUUGCACGAACAUCCAUAGUCCAUGCUGAAAUUGCAAGAUUCAUUGCAUCUAAUACAUUUUUUGCUGGAUUUGGAACCCCUAAUUCAUAACCCUCCAAAAGACUUCUAUGAAAUCGACGACGAUAACGCAUCUUAAAAGCUCGUAUGAUCCCCGUGUCAUAAGGUUGAAUUUUUGAAGUUGUGUUUGGUGGCAAGUGAGAGAUACUCUAAAGACCGCUUAACUGUAUUCGAUAUUGUCGCUUGACUCACCUGCAAACCAUAGUUACUAUGAACCCAUUCUUGCAACUGCUUUUGAGUGAGACUUGGAUUAUCCUUGUUGUGCUUGCAUAAUGCUCUUCGAAUCUCGUCUGUCAUUGUUGUUUUUUUUUUCACACCUUUAAGAUUGGAAGCCAUGUUGUGUGUAUGAUUUGUUUGUGUUAAUCUAUUUUGAUCUUGUAUUUAUAUAGAAAAUAUUUUUAAUGUCCAUAAAGUGAUAUAUUGAACACAAGAAGCAUAAUAAGGUGAGAGAUUGAAGGUUUCUUUCAAAUUGGCCGUUCAUUUGAUAUACAUGCAUUGUAUACAAUAAUUAAGUGAAAGCUUGAAAGUUGUUCGUAAACUAAGUAUUCUACUAUAAAUUAAUAAAAUAUUAAUUAAUAUAUAAAUUAAUAAUUAUUCAUUUAUCGAUUAAUUAAUAACUCUUUUAAUUAAUAAAUUUUGGUGGUCCCAAGUGUAUUAUUUUAUAGAGUUUCUACUACACUAAUGAAUGUAUUUUGUACAUUCAAAGGCAUGGGUUUCAUGCGUACAAAUAUAAAUGGUACUAAUCAGGUUGCUAUGGAGAAUGAAAUGAAGUGCAGGUACAUCAUUGUUGGAUCAUUAAAGGAUUGACACGGAAAUGUAAAAUUGGAAGUCAGGGAGUUAUCCGGAUGACAUGCAUUUAAGAAUGGAACGUUACACAGAUCAUUACUAUUAAUCACAAGGGACAAGCGAGUGAAGAUCGAGUCAAAGAACGUGGAUUGUAUAGAAGGAUGGUCACUUGAUCGUAGUCACAUGUUAUAUUUGAAAUAUAUAAAUUAAAAGAUGAAUGAUGAAAUUAUUUUAAAUGAGUUGUCCUUAGAUGUUUAUUAAGUAUGUUAGGACAUGUAUAAAGAAAGAAAUUUUAAGGUUUGUAUU